AACGAACGCUGGCGGCAUGCCUAACACAUGCAAGUCGAACGAGACCUUCGGGUCUAGUGGCGCACGGGUGCGUAACGCGUGGGAACCUGCCCUUAGGUUCGGAAUAACUCCCCGAAAGGGGUGCUAAUACCGGAUAAUGUCUUCGGACCAAAGAUUUAUCGCCUUUGGAUGGGCCCGCGUUGGAUUAGCUAGUUGGUAGGGUAAAAGCCUACCAAGGCGACGAUCCAUAGCUGGUUUGAGAGGAUGAUCAGCCACACUGGGACUGAGACACGGCCCAGACUCCUACGGGAAGCAGCAGUGGGGAAUAUUGGACAGUGGGCGAAAGCCUGAUCCAGCAAUGCCGCGUGAGUGAUGAAGUCCUUAGGGUUGUAAAGCUCUUUUACCCGGGAUGAUAAUGACAGUACCGGGAGAAUAAGCUCCGGCUAACUCCGUG
rnacentral:rRNA from 1 species